UAUAAAUCGACUUGGGAUGGUGUAGAACUACUUAUUUGUGCAGAAAGUUUUAGCACAGGGGAAUUUUAAAGCGCAUUUUGAUAUAAGAAAUGCUAACCCGUCCUUUAUUAUACUUUGUACUACGCUAACCCGCUACCCGGAUUCUAGAGUCAAGUAGGCUGCGUUUCUCUUGAAAAUUUUCGACCAAAGUUUGAGUUACAAACAUUUUUUACUUAAAUCGACUUGGGAUGGUGUACAACUACUUAUUUCUGCAGAAAUUUUUGGCACAGGGAAAUUUUAAAGCGCAUUUUAACAUAAGAAAUGCUAACCCGUCCUUUAUUAUAUUUUGUACUACGCUAACCCGCUACCCGGAUUCUUGAUCGAUUCAACUAGAUACUAGAAGUUCCUAUAGCAAGACAAGUGCUACCUUUAUAAACCAGAGUCAGACUUAGAAAAUUUCGUGCAAAUCGAAAAAAUUUUUUGAUCUAAAUCGACUUACAAAAGUUCAAAAUGCAUAUUGAUGCGGAAAGUUUGGGAAUAGGGGAAUUUUAAAGCGCAUUUUAAUAUAACAAAUGCUUAGCCGUGUUUUAACACACUUUCUACUACGCUUAGCCAUUCGCCGGCUUCGUAAUCGAAUCAACUAUUAACUAAAUUCUUUUGAAAUUAAACAAUAUAGAAUGAUUAGCUUAAUCUCUUCGGGCUAGGUUCAACAUGGCAAUAUUUCCUUAUACUUGUAAACGGAUUUUGCAAAUAGAGGUAUAAAAUGAAUAAAAAAUAGCUAGAAUAAAUAAAGGGAAAAAAUAUUGUGAGUCCGCUAUAAAACACGAGUUCAACUGGAUUUGAACUCAAAUGUUUAUCGAGACAGGCCAAACGACCUACCAUUAAGCCAUCAGUGGACGAUCUGAAAUUCUUGCAAAAUUAAAAACAAAAGUAGAUUGUUGUGACCUGCUCAUAAACCAAAGUCAGACUUUGAAAAUUUCGGGGAAAUCGAAAAAUAAUUUUCGAUCUAGAUCGACUUAGAAAGUUUCAAAACGCAUAUUGAUGCUGAAAGUUUUGGCACAUGGAAGUUUUAAAGCGCAUUUUGAUAUAAGAAUUGCUAAUCCGUCCUUCAUUAUUCUUUGUACUACGCUAACCCGCUACCCAGAUUCUUGACUCAACUAAGCAGAGCUUGUCUUAGAAAAUUUCAACCAAAGUUUAACUCAGAAAAUUUCGGGCAAAUCGAAAAAAAAAUUUCGUCAUAAAUCGACUAAGAAAGGUUCAAAACGCAUAUUGAUGGGAAAGUUUCGGCAUAGGGGAAUUUUAAAGCGCAUUUUGAUAUAAGAAAUGGUAACCCGUCCUGCGAUAUACUUCGUACUACGCUAACCCGCUACCCGGAUUCUAGAGUCAAGUAGGCUGAGUUUCUCUUGAAAAAUUUCGACCAAAGUUUGACUGACAAACAUUUCUUGAUAUAAAUCGACUUGGGAUGGUGUAGAACUACUUAUUUGUGAAGAAAGUUUUAGCACAGGGGAAUUUUAAAGCGCAUUUUGAUAUAAGAAAUGCUAACCCGUCCUGCAUUAUACUUUGUACUACGCUAACCCGCUACCCGGAUUCUAGAGUCAAGUAGGCUGAGUUUCUCUUGAAAAAUUUCGACCAAAUUUUGACUUACAAUGCAUUUCUUGAUAUAAAUCGACUUGGGAUGGUGUAGAACUACUUAUUUGUGCAGAAAGUUUUAGCACAGGGGAAUUUUAAAGCGCAUUUUGAUAAGAAAUGCUAACCCGUCCUGCAUUAUACUUUGUACUACGCUAACCCGCUACCCGGAUUCUAGAUCAAGUAGGCUGAGUUUCUCUUGAAAAAUUUCGACCAAAUUUUGACUUACAAUGCAUUUCUUGAUAUAAAUGGACUUGGGAUGGUGUAGAACUACUUAUUUGUGCAGAAAGUUUUAGCACAGGGGAAUUUUAAAGCGCAUUUUGAUAUAAGAAAUUCUAACCCGUCCUGCAUUAUACUUUGUACUACGCUAACCCGCUACCCGGAUUCUAGAGUCAAGUAGGCUGAGUUUCUCUUGAAAAAUUUCGACGAAAUUUUGACUUACAAUGCAUUUCUUGAUAUAAAUCGACUUGGGAUGGUGUAGAACUACUUAUUUGUGCAGAAAGUUUUAGCACAGGGGAAUUUUAAAGCGCAUUUUGAUAUAAGAAAUGCUAACCCGUCCUUUAUUAUACUUUGUACUACGCUAACCCGCUACCCGGAUUCUAGAGUCAAGUAGGCUGCGUUUCUCUUGAAAAUUUUCGACCAAAGUUUGAGUUACAAACAUUUUUUACUUAAAUCGACUUGGGAUGGUGUACAACUACUUAUUUGUGCAGAAAUUUUUGGCACAGGGAAAUUUUAAAGCGCAUUUUAACAUAAGAAAUGCUAACCCGUCCUUUAUUAUAUUUUGUACUACGCUAACCCGCUACCCGGAUUCUUGAUCGAUUCAACUAGAUACUAGAAGUUCCUAUAGCAAGACAAGUGCUACCUUUAUAAACCAGAGUCAGACUUAGAAAAUUUCGUGCAAAUCGAAAAAAUUUUUUGAUCUAAAUCGACUUACAAAAGUUCAAAAUGCAUAUUGAUGCGGAAAGUUUGGGAAUAGGGGAAUUUUAAAGCGCAUUUUAAUAUAACAAAUGCUUAGCCGUGUUUUAACACACUUUCUACUACGCUUAGCCAUUCGCCGGCUUCGUAAUCGAAUCAACUAUAAACUAAAUUCUUUUGAAAUUAAACAAUAUAGAAUGAUUAGCUUAAUCUCUUCGGGCUAGGUUCAACAUGGCAAUAUUUCCUUAUACUUGUAAACGGAUUUUUCACAUAGAGGUAUAAAAUGAAUAAAAAAUAGCUAGAAUAAAUAAAGGGAAAAAAUAUUGUGAGUCCGCUAUAAAACACGAGUUCAACUGGAUUUGAACUCAAAUGUUUAUCGAGACAGGCCAAACGACCUACCAUUAAGCCAUCAGUGGUCGAUCUGAAAUUCUUGCAAAAUUGAAAACAAAAGUAGAUUGUUGUGACCUGCUCAUAAACCAAAGUCAGACUUUGAAAAUUUCGGGGAAAUCGAAAAAUAAUUUUCGAUCUAGAUCGACUUAGAAAGUUUCAAAACGCAUAUUGAUGCUAAAAGUUUUGGCACAUGGAAGUUUUAAAGCGCAUUUUGAUAUAAGAAUUGCUAAUCCGUCCUUCAUUAGUCUUUGUACUACGCUAACCCGCUACCCAGAUUCUUGACUCAACUAAGCAGAGCUUGUCUUAGAAAAUUUCAACCAAAGUUUAACUCAGAAAAUUUCGGGCAAAUCGAAAAAAAAAUUUCGUCAUAAAUCGACUAAGAAAGGUUCAAAACGCAUAUUGAUGGGAAAGUUUCGGCAUAGGGGAAUUUUAAAGCGCAUUUUGAUAUAAGAAAUGGUAACCCGUCCUGAGAUAUACUUCGUACUACGCUAACCCGCUACCCGGAUUCUAGAGUCAAGUAGGCUGAGUUUCUCUUGAAAAAUUUCGACCAAAGUUUGACUGACAAACAUUUCUUGAUAUAAAUCGACUUGGGAUGGUGUAGAACUACUUAUUUGUGCAGAAAGUUUUAGCACAGGGGAAUUUUAAAGCGCAUUUUGAUAUAAGAAAUGCUAACCCGUCCUGCAUUAUACUUUGUACUACGCUAACCCGCUACCCGGAUUCUAGAGUCAAGUAGGCUGAGUUUCUCUUGAAAAAUGUCGACGAAAUUUUGACUUACAAUGCAUUUCUUGAUAUAAAUCGACUUGGAAUGGUGUAGAACUACUUAUUUGUGCAGAAAGUUUUAGCACAGGGGAAUUUUAAAGCGCAUUUUGAUAUAAGAAAUGCUAACCCGUCCUGCAUUAUACUUUGUACUACGCUAACCCGCUACCCGGAUUCUAGAGUCAAGUAGGCUGCGUUUCUCUUGAAAAUUUUCGACCAAGGUUUGAGUUACAAACAUUUUUUUAUUUAAAUCGACUUGGGAUGGUGUACAACUACUUAUUUGUGCAGAAAUUUUUGGCACAGGGAAAUUUUAAAGCCCAUUUUGACAUAAGAAAUGCUAACCCGUCCUUUAUUAUAUUUUGUACUACGCUAACCCGCUACCCGGAUUCUUGAUCGAUUCAACUAGAUACUAGAAGUUCCUAUAGCAAGACAAGUGCUACCUUUAUAAACCAGAGUCAGACUUAGAAAAUUUCGUGCAAAUCGAAAAAAUUUUUUGAUCUAAAUCGACUUACAAAAGUUCAAAAUGCAUAUUGAUGCGGAAAGUUUGGGAAUAGGGGAAUUUUAAAGCGCAUUUUAAUAUAACAAAUGCUUAGCCGUGUUUUAACACACUUUCUACUACGCUUAGCCAUUCGCCGGCUUCGUAAUCGAAUCAACUAUAAACUAAAUUCUUUUGAAAUUAAACAAUAUAGAAUGAUUAGCUUAAUCUCUUCGGGCUAGGUUCAACAUGGCAAUAUUUCCUUAUACUUGUAAACGGAUUUUGCACAUAGAGGUAUAAAAUGAAUAAAAAAUAGCUAGAAUAAAUAAAGGGAAAAAAUAUUGUGAGUCCGCUAUAAAACACGAGUUCAACUGGAUUUGAACUCAAAUGUUUAUCGAGACAGGCCAAACGACCUACCACUAAGCCAUCAGUGGACGACCUGAAAUUCUUGCAAAAUUAAAAACAAAAGUAGAUUGUUGUGACCUGCUCAUAAACCAAAGUCAG
rnacentral:lncRNA from 1 species